GAUGAACGCUGGCGGCGUGCCUAAUACAUGCAAGUCGAGCGAACGGACGAGAAGCUUGCUUCUCUGAUGUUAGCGGCGGACGGGUGAGUAACACGUGGAUAACCUACCUAUAAGACUGGGAUAACUUCGGGAAACCGUAGCUAAUACCGGAUAAUAUUUUGAACCGCAUGGUUCAAAAGUGAAAGACGGUCUUGCUGUCACUUAUAGAUGGAUCCGCGCUGCAUUAGCUAGUUGGUAAGGUAACGGCUUACCAGGGCAACGAUGCAUAGCCGACCUGAGAGGGUGAUCGGCCACACUGGAACUGAGACACGGUCCAGGCUCCUACGGGAGGCAGCAGUAGGGAAUCUUCCGCAAUGGGCGAAAGCCUGACGGAGCAACGCCGCGUGAGUGAUGAAGGUCUUCGGAUCGUAAAACUCUGUUAUUAGGGAAGAACAUAUGUGUAAGUAACUGUGCACAUCUUGACGGUACCUAAUCAGAAAGCCACGGCUAACUACGUG
rnacentral:rRNA from 1 species